CUAACCUAGUGAGGAAGGCUUUAAACUAGGUUCACCGGGGGAAGGAGACCAAAGCCCUGAGAUUGAUGGAAUAUGCUCAGGUCAUGCAGGUACGCUUGAAGAUGAAAGGCAUUAAUGAGGUGAAAGAUCAUCGCACCUCAACUUUAAAAGC